rnacentral:rRNA from 1 species
AUACGUAUGUCGCAAGCGUUAUCCGGAUUUAUUGGGCGUAAAGCGCGUCUAGGCGGCUUAGUAAGUCUGAUGUGAAAAUGCGGGGCUCAACCCCGUAUUGCGUUGGAAACUGCUAAACUAGAGUACUGGAGAGGUAGGCGGAACUACAAGUGUAGAGGUGAAAUUCGUAGAUAUUUGUAGGAAUGCCGAUGGGGAAGCCAGCCUACUGGACAGAUACUGACGCUAAAGCGCGAAAGCGUGGGUAGCAAACAGGAUUAGAUACCCUGGUAGUCCACGCCGUAAACGAUGAUUACUAGGUGUUGGGGGUCGAACCUCAGCGCCCAAGCUAACGCGAUAAGUGCUCCGCCUGGGGAGUACGGUCGCAAGACUGAAACUUAAAUGAAUUGACGGGG